rnacentral:lncRNA from 1 species
GAACCUAACCCUGAGUUUUACUUUUUUUCUGGGCAAGGGGAAGAAUCCAUGUAAGCACCUGUUCUUCUAGAUAAUCCAGCCAGGACUUCAAGCCUUCUGACAGAUUGUGUCCCUUACAGUACUAUGGUGCCAGCCAGUCUCCACAUUCUGACAUCCCAGCUGAUUGGAGCUCAGAGUAGUUGCCUAGAUCCACAUGCCAGUUGCUAUGAUUAGUGCCUUGCUCUUUGUCUUGAAUGUAUCCCAUGUGGUUUAGGCCAACUGGAACUCUCAGUGGUUGCCAUGGAAUGGAACCAGAGUGGGCUUACCAUGAAGAUUCCCAGUCAAGUGUGUAGAUUGAAUGUUCACCUGCAUCCCCUCCUUUCACCUUACAAACUGUGGAUCUAGGAAAAUUUUCCGUUGCAUUAUACUGAGGAUGACUGAAGAUCCACUACAAACUGACUGGAAGUUGGAGGUCCAGUUAAGGAGAUGCCAAAGAUAUCAUUUGUCUUUUAACACUCUAAUUGCCUCCAGCACAACCUGGUGAGUAAUAAAAAAGUUAAUGAAGAGCCAAAUAUUUACCAAAUACCUCAAAAAUGCAGCACAUUAUUUCUGUCUCUGACCUCAAGAAGCCUAAGUUAAAAUAAAAUAAAUAAAAUAGAAAUAGAAAUAAUCAUAAGAUGUAGAAUAUGAUGAACAAAGGAAGAAUCUUGUUAACAUGAUGUGACAGGGCUUUUUCCUUGAAAAAAAUGAUAAUAUAUCUCCCCUGUCUUUAAUAACAACUUCCUUUCUAUUUAUAUUGGCUCAUCAAAUCAUUUCUCCUCACUAAAUUAAUGUGUCAAUAGGAAUUUAUCUUACUUCCAAAACCGUUAAAAAAAUUAAAUAUUUUUCAAUAAUCAUCUGAAACUAAAAAUUGUAAAAUAUAUAUUUUAUAUGAUGAAAUUUAUAACUUUAAAUAAAAGUCAAUACCAGUAAUCAUUCAGAGAAUAUUACAAAAGAAGAAAAGUCAUUAGAAAUAAUUUAUUCCCAAAGAAUUACUAUGGCAUCAUUAUUCUUUAUUUCAUAGUUCUCUAAUUAGAUGGUAGAGGAAGAUUUUCUAUUGUUAACAAUAUCAGGUUCUACAGAAGAAUUUAAGCAUAAGUAGUUCCUCCUUGUGCCGAGUCUUUAUACUCCGUUUUUUGCUAUUGCUCACAGUAAUUCUAUUCUGGCCUCUUCUUGUGUAUAAAGAUUCUUCACAACAAGUGAAGAAAAAUGUUGAAUAGAGUUACACUGUGCUGUUUCUAAUAUUUAAUGCUUAUCUGUGGGAGGUAUAUGUGAAUGCCUAUGUUUUAUUCAGUAGUUACUCAUUCGAAGAUGACAAGGAGUGAAUAGAUAUAUAGGGAGAGCACUUGGGGGCUGUCUUAGUCCGUUUACUACUGCUGUAACAGAUACAUAA